UGGUGGAGCGAUUUGUCUGGUCAAUUCCGAUAACGAACGAGACUCUAUCCUACUAAAUAGUUCGGGGACCCCCACAAAGGGGCCCCGCUUCAACUUCUUAGAGGGACAGGUGGCGUUUAGCCACACGAGAUUGAGCAAUAACA
rnacentral:rRNA from 1 species